CGUUAUGUACUGCCUCUAUGUACUCCAUUAUGUACUGCCCCUAUGUACUCCAUUAUGUACUCCGUUAUGUACUGCCCCUAUGUACUCCAUUAUUUCAUUUCAUUCAGUUAGUCGGCAGUCGACGAACCGACCGGUUGUGCGCAUUGUGUGGCUAGCGCGCAUAUUGCAAAACCGAUUGCUUAUCGACUUGACGCUGUCAAUUACGUUCUGUUUUGUUCUGUUUGUUGUUAUUUUGUUGUAAAAGGAAGAACGAGUUUUUUUCAAAGAAAAAUCGUACUUUUUGCUUGAAAUCGGGUAAAAUUCUAAAACGUGUAUAAUUUAAGUUUCACUAAGUCGACACGCAUCAAAAUCUUAACGUGUCGAGUUGACGACAUGAUAAAUGUUAAAAUUUUGAGUUUCACCAAGUGGACACAUUCGUGGAGCGGUGGGGAAAAUUUGAGAUGCUGUAAAAACUGCUGCGGCGAACACAAAGAGCAACAGAGAUAUAACAGACAAAGACAAACUAAUCAUUAUCUACAAAAUGUGAGAGUUGAUUCAACAUAAUUGUUACUAUAGUAAUAUAAAAUUUUAAAAAAUCUA
rnacentral:misc_RNA from 1 species